AUGCCGCGUGAGUGAUGAAGGCCUUCGGGUUGUAAAGCUCUUUCGUCCGGGAAGAUAAUGACGGUACCGGAAGAAUAAGCCCCGGCUAACUUCGUGCCAGCAGCCGCGGUAAUACGAAGGGGGCUAGCGUUGUUCGGAAUUACUGGGCGUAAAGGGUGCGUAGGCGGUUCUUUAAGUCAGGUGUGAAAUCCCCGGGCUCAACUCGGAAGCUGCCUUUGAUACUGAAGAGCUUGAGUGCGGGAGAGGUGAGUGGAAUUGCGGGUGUAGAGGUGAAAUGCGUAGAUAUUCGGAGGAACACCAGUGGCGAAGGCGGCUCACUGGACCGAUACUGACGCUGAGGCACGAAAGCGUGGGGAGCAAACAGGAUUAGAUACCCUGGUAGUCCACGCCCUAAACGAUGAAUGCUUGCUGUGAGCGGGUCUACUCCUUCGUGGCGCAGCUAACGCUUUAAGCAUUCCGCCUGGGGAGUACGGUCGCAAG
rnacentral:rRNA from 1 species